rnacentral:piRNA from 1 species
UACGACCCGUGCUGCAGAAAGAGUGAGC